CGCAGUUUCUGGAGCAGAUUGCAACCCGGAGUCAGUAUUCAAUAAAUGUGUAGUCGUUUGGAAAACAGAUUGUCAUGAUGACGGAGCAACCAGAUGAGUUUAUCUGGUGUGAGGACUGUGGGCAGUAUCAUGACUCUGAGUGUCCAGAGCUGGGACCAGUGGUGACUGUACAGGACUCAUUUGUUCUCAGCAGAGCACGGUCCUCUCUGCCGGAGAGUCUGGAGAUCAGACAGG